rnacentral:rRNA from 1 species
UACGGAGGAGGCAAGCGUUAUCCGGAGUUAUUGGGCGUAAAGCGUCCGCAGGUGGCACUUCAAGUCUGUCGUCAAAGACUGGGGCUUAACCCUGGAAAGGCGGUGGAAACUGAAGCGCUAGAGUGCGGUAGGGGUAGAGGGAAUUCCCGGUGUAGCGGUGAAAUGCGUAGAGAUCGGGAAGAACAUCGGUGGCGAAAGCGCUCUACUGGACCGCAACUGACACUCAGGGACGAAAGCUAGGGGAGCGAAUGGG